ensembl:lncRNA
AUGUUGUACAGACCUACAGCCAGACAGGAUGAUCACAGCCAAUGUGAUUUGGUGAUGGGAGCUGUGAGCUGUGCAGGCAUGUUGGCCUUAAAGGAUUCUGGGAUCUAUUCUCUCAUCACCACUGUACCGUCCAAGUUACUGCCCUCAGGUGAGUUUGUAUCAGGUUGUCUUCUGUCCCUGUUUUCCAGACCUGGGACAGGAAUUUGGGACCAUCAGCACAAUAAAUCUUUGUCACUCAAUGUCAACCGUACUAACUUAAAACAUCAAAUAAGGUGUUAGUCAGAGCAUCUUGAAAGCAUGAGAUCAGAGCUGUAUGUCUACAAGGUGGUUUAAGACAGGAAGAGAAGUGUGAAGUGACAUUAAGCACAGCAACAUAACACACACAACCACACACACACUUACGCAUGAGCGCAUAUUCACACGCACACACACGCCCACACACAAAUAUACAGAAACUCUAACUCAGGCUCCCUCUGUGUUGUACAGGCCCUGUUGAAGAAAAUGGAAAGUCAUCUGAAAAAGACAAUGUAGGUUCAGAAUCACCCACUGUGUUUGGUAAUUUUGAUCGACUCUCAGUUUCAGAUUGAUGUUACAUCCUUUUAGAAUACAUUACAUUUACAGUACUGUAGAUUCAAAGGGCUGAAGUUAAACUGUCUGUUUAUUUUCUCUAGUCUGAUACGUACCACAUAUACAGCUCAAUCCCCGACAGACCAGCAACCUCAGCCCAGCCGGAUGGGUUUUACAGUCUUCUGCAGACACACUGAAACUACACCACUGGCUCUCUGUAUGUCUCACAGAAAUAUUGUUUCUUUCAGGAUGUCCUUUAUUUAUCACACAUCAUGUUACUGUAAAUAAGUAUCUAAUACAUCUACUGCAGUACAGUUUCUAGGCAUAACCAUCAUAAAGGGCUGCCAUCCCAUGGAAGAAUUUGUAGAACUGGAGGUAAUUAGCUUUAAAACGGAAUUUCUUUCUUUCAGUCUCAUGUCACAAUGUGUAGAAUUGUAGGAAAUUAGCUUUAUAACUGCAAAGGUUUCUCCGCCCCAUGGCAAAAUUUGUAGAAUUGCAUGAUAAAUGCAAUAAAUGCUAAAUAUAUACUGUUACAUUGUUGUCAACAUCAGAUCAUCAAAACUGAAAAAUAUAGAUAUCCUAAAUGCUUUUAAAAUCUCCCCAUUUCCCAAUGUUUACCUGUUAUUUUUCCAAGUUACCAGUUUAACUUCAAUUUACUCACGCACUUCAGAUUAUCCCCUUCAAUGUGCAGUGUUGUAGACACAUUCUAGCUUUAUAGUCCAGUGACUGCGUAGCAGUUAAGUUGUAAAUGGUGUGUGACCAUAACCUUCAUGAAACAAAAUUACCCAGUUAAUUAACAUUGGAGAAUCGCUUCGUUUGACCAUCCUUAUCUGGUGAGUUUACAGAUGUAGGAUCUUAAUUUGAGCCAGAUUGCUACAGCAUAAAAAUUAUCCUGCAGCAUCUGGAAAUGUGAAUUAUUAUGUGUAUUAUAAUGUAUGGAAUUUUUUUUAGGGGUUUAUACAUUUUUCUUUAGGGCUAGUUUAGUCUUACAUUUCAAAGUGGAAAUUACAAACUUUAGAAGUCUACAUACACUAUACAUUUGCAUUUCCUGCUCUGCCAAAUUAUGGCAGUUUAUACAAUUUUAAAAACAUUACAAUACAUUCAGACUGUGUGCCCUCAAGCCCCUACUCCACCACUACCGCAAAUACAGUGCCUUGCGAAAGUAUUCGGCCCUCUUGAACUUUGCGACCUUUUGCCACAUUUCAGGCUUCAAACAUAAAGAUAUAAAAAUGUAUUUUUUUGUGAAGAAUCAACAACAAGUGGGACACAAUGAUGAAGUGGAACGACAUUUAUUGGAUAUUUCAAACUUUUUUAACAAAUCAAAAACUGAAAAAUUGGGCGUGCAAAAUUAUUCAGCCCCUUUACUUUCAGUGCAGCCUCCAGAAGUUCAGUGAGGAUCUCUGAAUGAUCCAAUGUUGACCUAAAUGACUAAUGAUGAUAAAUACAAGCCACCUGUGUGUAAUCAAGUCUCCGUAUAAAUGCACCUGCACUGUGUUAGUCUCAGAGGUCCGUUAAAAGCGCAGAGAGCAUCAUGAAGAACAAGGAACACACCAGGCAGUUCCGAGAUACUGUUGUGAAGCCGGAUUUGGAUACAAAAAGAUUUCCCAAGCUUUAAACAUCCCAAGGAGCACUGUGCAAGCGAUAAUAGUGAAAUGGAAGGAGUAUCAGACCACUGCAAAUCUACCAAGACCUGGCCGUCCCUCUAAACUUUCAGCUCAUACAAGGAGAAGACUGAUCA